rnacentral:lncRNA from 1 species
GGAUGCUUUAUCAUGUGAUCACCCUACAACACAGGAUUAGGGGCCUUAUUUAAUCCACAUUUCUAGCAUCUCAUCCCCGACUUUACUCUCACGUUUUGAGAACUAUGUUUCUUGGGCAGAGUUUUGCUAUUACCUAAGGGAGUGAAGUUUAAGACUUACUAGUUAUAUUUGUAAUCAAUAUAAGUUAAUGUCUCACAUAUUAAUCUCUUUGUUUAUAAAGUGUUCACUAAGGGUUUCCAAGAUACUUAUUGUAAAUAGGAAGCAGGUAGCUUUGAGUUUUGGAUUAUUUGCAGAUAAAAUAUAUACAAUAUGUAUCUUGAAACCAGGUGAUCAUUAUGAACUGUUGGUGAUUUCCAACUUUAUUGGCAGUCCCCAAGACAAGGCCGUACUUUUAUUUGUUAAGUGAUUUUGAUCUGACAGUACAGAAUUUGGUUGCCAGUGUUGACUGUGACAUAAAAGUCUUAUAUAAAAAUGAUGUUACUUUGAAAGUGUUUUCUCCUUUUGUAGACCUGCUGACUUUGGACUCAGGAUCUGAUUUCCCUCCUAGUUCAUUCCAGUACAGAUAUAGGGCGUCUACUGAGAACCCCACAUUGUGGUUUAUGUAGAAUCCUUCUUCCUCUCUUGUCUUGCUGCUGGUGAGGCCAGACUAAUUGCAGAUGUGACUGGACUUUUACCUCACCUGCUUCCCUCUAAGGACUUUCAAGUGAAUUGUUCCUGAUAGCAGGACUUCAGGCUGCUCUCAGGCCUCAGAGCACUGUUCUAAACAAAAACCAAGCAUUCUAUAGUUUUCUCUCUGUAUGUUUUGCUUCUUUGUGGUUUCAUGAAGAGAUGAGGAUAUUUUUAUUAUAAUACUAUAUUAUUUUAGUAAUGAAUGGGCUGAAAUCCCAGCACUAUUGAUACUUGGGGGAAUGAUAUCAUCAGGUAUUUCCAACUCAAAUGGCCAGCUUACAAGAAGUACUGAUUUAUAUUUAUCUUGAAAGUUAGCAGAGCUCACACCUCUUAGGUAAGGCACUGAUUAGAAUUGAUGGUUUGCCCCUCACAGACUUUAUUGCCUAAAGCCACAACAGGAGAGGCUUCUCUGGCCUCUGUAGCUUCUCUCUUGAGGAAGCAUGUUGAAAGGCUGCUGAAUUCAAGGUGAAUUCAACACAUUAUAUACAUGUAGAAUGUAAAUUUAAGAAUAGUUUUUAAAACAAUUUAUAUUUUUGCUCUUUUUCUGUUAUAGUUAUAUUUGUCUUAGCUUGUUGUUUUAAAUACCUUAAGCAGAAAUUUCAAUGCAUCUUUGUGCUAUUGGGAUUUUAACAUGGGAAAUAUUUUAUUCUCCUUAUAUAUGGAAUUAAAUAUAUAUUCUUUGAAUAUUUAUCCCUAACCUCAAACUCAGAUACAAAGAAAAGUAAACAAUCCUUUAUUUACUGAGUAUCAAGUAAAUGCUGAAGAUUACUAGUUGAUUAGAAACUAGUUACACUAGAGUUCUCUGUGAUGUUAAACCACGGUUUACUGAGCUGUGACUCUGUUGAGUCUAUUUGCUCAACAGAAUUUUGGGUGGUUCUAUGCUUCUCACCAUGUGAUGUCAGACCCUGUGCAUGAGUUCCUGAUUUUUAGUCCUCUGAAUUCUGUUUCACUAGAUACUAUAAUUUAUUUUCAAGAUUUAAAAUCACUAACAAUAUGUAAGCACCAAAUCCUUACAUAUAAAUGAUUAACUGAACUCAUUAACAGAAUUAAACUAAGCCUAGAAUGGUAGAGUACUCACUUUACAGUGUAUAUGCAUAUUUAGAGUGUGUGUGUAUGUAUGCAUAUACUCAUAUAUAUGCUCUGCAGUGUAAUGUGUUUCUGCUCAUGAAAACAUAGGGAAUUAAAAUGUUAAAACUGCCUUUGGAUUAUUGAAGAGCCUUGACCAGAAUUUGAAAAUGCUCUCUUCCAACAGUUUUUAAAAUGUUUCCCUUGGUUCAUGGCCAAACGUAUUUCUGAGCUUCCUUUUUAUCCCUGAAAUGGAGCUAAUUAUAUUUCCUAUUCUACCUUGCUCAGAAAAAUGCUGUGAAAACAAGAUAUGAUAAUAGCUUCUAAAGUGCUUGGGAAGAAAUGCAGUCAUAUGAUCAGAAGCCCGUUCCUCAUUUGUUCCUGUUGUGUGCAAUACAUAGAUAAUGCCACUGGCUGUCACCUCCUGAGGGCUCCUGAGGGCUGGGCCACACACUCCUCUGCACACUAUGUACUAUGCGCUCGUUUGUGCCUUGCAUGACCUGGUAAACUAAGAGCUAUCAUUCUGUUCAUUUUACAGCUAGAACGGGAUGAACAGAGGACCUAAGCAUACUGACCAAGCUUAUACAGCCAGGAAUGUCGGGGCUGGGAUUUGAAAGUGAUAACCAAACAGUAGAUUAUAGGCUGCUGCCAGAUAGAGGGGCCUGUUCUCCUAGGAUCUGAGGAGAGCCUGUAUAAAUUACAGCACUCAACAUGGAUGAUAGUGUGUUUAGUACAGACAUGCUGUAAGAUGACUUCUCUACCAUUCUAGGUUUAGUUUAAUGUUGUUAACAGUUUCAGUUAAUCAUUUACAUGUGAGGUUUUGAUGGUUACAUAUUUUUAGUGAUUUUUUUAAACAUUGAAAAUAAAUGGUGAGGUAUUGAGUUUACCACCCUCACAUUCAUUAUUCUUAUCUUUAAAAAAGUCUAGUGUAGUCCAGUUUUAGACCAAUCAGACAUGCAUUUGUGGUACCAUACUGCUGUGUAUGGUGUGGACUUUGCUAAUAAGACAUUUUCCUAACGUGGCUGUAGAUUUCAUGCUAUAUGAGUUCUCAGAGAGAUUCUCUGUGUCUGUCCAUAACCUUCCUCUACAAUUAGUGACAGCUCUUAAGUUUGCAUGCUACUAUCUUUUCAUUAAUUAUCAACUCAUUAACAGAAUUUUCUGUUAACGUUGUCUGCCAAAUAGUAUGAAUCAUUCUUGAAAUAAUAAACCAUUGUGUGAAAUCCCUUUAGCCCUGUAUUAUCCAAUAUGAGCAAAAUUGUGAUAGAGACCAAGAUUAUCUUGUUUGUAUUUUGAAAGGCCUACAGUACGCAGCCUUUCUCCAGGACAGCAGCCCCAAACAAGGUGAACUAAUUUUGCAUUAUGUUAUAUUACUUUAAUUCUGCUGUUUUGUUUUGUUUUUUGUUUUUGUUUUUGUUUUGUUUUGUUUUGCUUUGCUUUGUUUUGGUUUGGUUUUGGUUUUGGUUUUGGUUUUUAAAUAGAGCUCUUGCUUGUUUAGAUCAACUCAGUUAGUUCUUUCUAGAUGUAUGUAUGAAGAGAGUACUAUCUUAUACUGCUUCCAGUUUUGAACUCUGUAUUAGACUUGCUCUUUAACAACAUUCUUGUUCUGAAGUGGAAUUUUACACAGGCUGCUAAAUAGGCUGUUCCCAGAGCAUCUGAUGGCAUCUGGUGGCAUCUAAUAGAAAUGUAACCUCAGCUUAUUGACAUAUGGUACUGAUGGGUGGCAGCCUCAUGAUUUCAAUGAUUUCUGUUUACUAAAGAUAAACUGGAGGCAGCUUGGCCUGUGGUCCAUAUGACUCAUUUUUGCAUCAGAAAAUUUUAAUGGAUUUGGAAUCCAGUUACUUUUGUGCUUGACUUUUGUAUGUUUUGUGUAUUAUAAAUAGCCUUCGCCAUGAUUAAAAUAACAAGCAUUGUCAUCAUAUGGAUAUAUGAUGAAGUUAGUAGUAUCCAUUUUAAAAGCAUAACCAAGCCAGGCAUGGAAACAUGCCUGUAAUCCUAGCACUAGAGAGUCAAAUCUAUGACUCCAGGCCAGCCUAUUCUACACAGAGAGUUCCAGUCCUGUUAGUGAGACCCUGUCUUUAAAAACAAGAAAACC